GUGCUCGCUUUGGCAGCACGUAUUCUAAAAUUGGAACGAUGCAGAGAAGAUUAGCAUGGCCCCUGAGCAAGGAUAAAGGAAAGUAUUUAAUUGAGGCUGGCUUACAUUUC